ensembl:lncRNA
GUCAGAAAAUAUAUAUUGUGUAUUUCUUUCUGCAAUUGAAAAACACAACAACAGUUUUCUAGUCACAUAGCAGACAGGAAGUCCACACAGCAGACAGGAAGUCACAAGAGGUGACACAAGAGGUCCCAGGGCCCAAAUGGUAGCCACCACAUUUCCUUGAUAGUACACUUCUUUGGAAAGACCCAAGGGGCUUUUUGUGGACCAUAUAGGGAAUAGGAUGCAAUUGGGGCCGCCCACUGGAUUUACAGCACGGACGAACACAGACCCAACGUCAUUUCAAAGAGUAAAACAUUAAAAUGAAUGACGUUUAGGGGAUGACAAAUGUGAACACUGUCCUCCAUUAACAGUAUUUCACCUGGCUUAAGUCAUCCAUGUUGCUCCCCCCUGUGGUCCUCAAGCUACUAGAAAUACAUUAUAUAGUAAUAUAACUUAUGCCCAGUUGCUGCUAGAAACAGUCCCUUCAGAGUUGGGUCAGUUGUAUGUUAAGCUACAACAUUCCGGUUAUUUUCCCAAAAUUCCCUGGCUCUGAAGAAAAUCUAUUCCGAAGACUCAGAGAUUUACUGCAACUCUUUUUCUUUUUAAAUGUAGAAUUUCUGCAAUGUUAACAGAAUUUUGCCACCUGAGGCAUUUCGCACCAGAGUCAAAUUAUAGGACUCCUUUGACUGAUUCAUGGAAACGACCCAAGCCUCUCUCUUCUGUCCCACUCCUUAUGGAACUGUCACGGCAGCAACACAUGGACCAGUCUGGCCCCCAGUCUAUAGUUUGGAAAAUGCUAUACAAUACUGCUACUUACUAAUUAUAAUGUAAUUUUUUGUAAAAACACUCUAGUAUGUAGGUUUGAGUAUGGUAUUUUCACACGCCCAUAGAAAGUACAUAGCAAUGUGUGACACUGAAUAUUUAUUUGGGAAAAAAGGUCACUAGACUGGUCACUCUGCAGUCGAUCAGGACCAUAGCGUCUCUGUCUAAACCAGAGUUCAGUCUCAGGGGUUAUCUGGGCCGGGGAAGCAUCAUGGGCUGCCACUUCAGUCAAAGAUAACAAUUUUGCCAGGACAAUGUAUGUGUUUUAAAGUGACAAAACAAAACUAGCCCACUUUGAGGAGAGAUUUACAGUUGGAUACACAGCAUUUGUGGACAGUCUUUUGUGAUUGUUGUCACGCGUUGGCGGUAGGACAUAAAUCAUUUAUACAUACAUACAAAACGUUUUAGAGACAUGCUGUCAUACUCCUCAGGCACUUGGUCCCCUCUGGGCCUUUUUGAGACUGCUGUGAGACGACGUGACACAAUAAAAAAAUACUAAUAAUGUUAUAUAGACGUGAGUCCAUUCUGAGUGUCCUCAAGUCUGAAGAUUUCAAUUCUUACUGUUAUUGCUUUUCUUCCCACAAGAUGGCGCUAGGUGCCAACAGUGUCCAUUGGCAUUCAGUGUGGCAGUGGCAUCAACAUUUGUCGUUCUGUUUUCCCAUGGCCCUCUUUACAUCCGAUACGACACGGAUGUAGUUAUAUGAAUUGAACCACCUCAGACAGUCAGGCAGACAUUAAGUGUAACAAACCAGCAAUGUCAUGUCAAAAGAAAUCAACCAUACUGUUUCAACUAAAUUCAAAUUUAGGAUUAUUUUCACCUUAUGCGUUUUAAGGAUAAUGACACAAAGACAAAACUGUACCAUGGCCUAAAUUCUCAUUAAAAACACAAAAAUGCUUGAAAUUUUGAUUCACAACACAAAAAGGACUGAAUUGUGAUUCACAACACAAAAAGGCCUAAAUUGUGAUUCACAACACAAAAACGCCUGAAUUGUGAUUCACAACACAAAAACGCCUGAAUUGUGAUUCACAACACAAAAACGCCUGAAUUGUGAUUCACAACACAAAAACGCCUGAAUUGUGAUUCACAACACAAAAACGGCUGAAUUGUGAUUCACAACACAAGGGGCCAAAUGUACCAGUGGAAAGACAUUAGAAGUAAUUAUAGUCCCCAUCUGUCUUACAAACAGUGUAAUCCAUGCGAAGCCUUAUAACAUCACAGUGUUCCUAACGGUGCUAUAACAAUAAACACACAGUUAUAAACACAUUUGCUAUGACACUGUGACAGGCUAAACAAAAAGUUAAAAAAGCAUAUUUAAAUGGAAAACAAAAAUAUAUAUUGAUAAAUAAAUAGUUCUAUACAGCCCCUUCGUGGCUUUGUACUGUGUCGGAGAGGGAUAUCAAAAAGACAAACUAUUACAAACUGUUGAAGUAUAUAAACACAUUUAAAUCUAACACACACACUGACAUGGGACUCCCAAAUGACACCAUAUUCUCUUCAUAGUGUACUAGUUUUUGGGGCGACACAACACUAACUAAGCUACACAGUGGCACGUUCAAAUGCACGUAACGAUCGGCAAACAUUACAAACACAAGGUUGAACAGGAAGAAGUCGGAUCACGAUUGAGAAGCACCAUGAAAUGUGCUUGGAUCAGUACAUACGUAUUCUCUAACAUAGAGUGUGAUUCAGUAAUACAUCUGUGCAUUUUGUUUCUCCGUGCAAAGGGUGUGGAAGAUCACGACAGUCAUCCUCUUCAUCACUCUAUAUUCAUACAGUAACAGCUGAAAUGGAAUAUCACACAUGGAAACGAGGGUCUCGGCUCAGUCCCAAAAGCCACCCUAUUCCCUGAUAGUGCCUUUGCGUGUGGUUGAAAGUAGUGCACUAAAAAUGGAAUAGGGUGGCGUUUGGGACACACUACCUCACUAACGGGUACUUGGGUAUAAUGCUGGAAUAGAGGGCUAGGCUAAGGCCUGGAGUCGGGCUACAAGGCAGUGCAAAAUAUUUAAAUGGUUUUGGUUGGUUAUAAUAUAAAUAUCCCUUAAGUUGCGAUUAAAUACAAUAAAUAUUAAAAAAAUAUAUUCAAAAUGUUAGAUAAAUAAAGGUCAUGGCAUUUUUUUGGUGGUGUAACUCAGUGUCUCUAAGAUACUGGCAGAUAAGUGAAACAGGAGAUCCAUGCCGUUGCAGUUUGAAAGCCUGAUUCACACUAUUGAGCAAAACAGGUUCCUAAAAGGACCACGUGAGAAGAAUACAUCUGAGCCAGGCGGAAUGGACAUUCUGAUUCAGGCCCAUAGUGUGAAUCAGGCCUUAGCAGUAUUCCCAGGAGAAAGUAACUGACUUCACAUUAACUGCUUAACUUUAGCACACCCUAGUGGAAAUUGGAUGCAUGGCAACAGACAGGUUUAAGAUGUUUAGAAAGAACGAAUGGAUUCCACUAUAAGUAAAGCAAGACUGAAGAACUUGUAGUUGAUGGGAUUAAAUAGCAUAUGUCCCAAUUCCUCAUGUGAGCAAAAGAUGGUUAGGAGCAGGGAUGUGGUCUUAGUCCUGCUGAUUUGGGGGUGUGGUCUUAGUCCUGCUGAUUUGGGGGUGUGGUCUUAGUCCUGCUGAUUUAGGGGUGUGGUCUUAGUCCUGCUGAUUUGGGGGUGUGGUCUUAGUCCUGCUGAUUUGGGGGUGUGGUCUUAGUCCUGUUGAUUUGGGGGUGUGCUCUUAGUCCUGCUGAUUUGGGGGUGUGGUCUUAGUCCUGCUGAUUUAGGGGUGUGGUCUUAGUCCUGCUGAUUUGGGGGUGUGGUCUUAG